GACAGAGGCCCCAAGCGUUAGGCGGAAUCACUGGGCUUAAAGCGUGUGUAGGCGGACGCCUAAGUGUCUUGUGAAAUCCCACGGCUCACCCGUGGAACUGCUGGGCAUACUGGGCGUCUUGGGCCAACUAGGGGCAGCCGGAACAAGCGGUGGAGCGGUGAAAUGCGUAGAUAUCGCUUGGAACGCCGAAGGUGAAAACAGGCUGCUGGGGUUGCGCCGACGCUGAGACACGAAAGCCCAGGGGAGCAAACGGG
rnacentral:rRNA from 1 species